CGUCAUCUCCACCUCAAUGAGACUUAGUUUGCGCAUUAACGACUAUAGGUUUCUUAAUGUUUUGGAGUGGUUCAGUCGUGUAUUUCUUUGCGCCCAUGUUCGCUUCAGUAUUCCCUUCCAAUUCUCACACUAUGGUUGCGGCUUCUUUAUUUAUGUUGGACUGUUCUGUGAAUUGCCACCAUGACACUUGUUGAAAAUAGUGUUGUCGGGUGAUAAUCAUUCUUGGCAGUGAUUCUUGAAAAUAGUGUUGUCAGGUUCCUCAUAGAAUAGUAUAAUGCUAACAAGGCUGGGGAUUCCAAAAGCUGGAUAUCAUCGCUACAAUAAGAUUUCUGUACAUUGAUACUACUGAAACUAAAUUGCCUUUUCCUAAUUUCUAUAAACUUGACUGGAAAUGUUAAGUAUCAAAUAUUCCCUCCGGCCCAUAAUAGAAGAACAUUUUCAAGUUGUUUUAGCUUGAAAAACAUUCUUAGAUUAUGGGACGGAGGGAGUAUUAAUUACUCUAGAGUUCUCAUACUGAAAAUAGGCACAUAAUUCAAUCGCUGAAAUGGUGUAUAUGAGUUUAUCUUACCUUUGGGAGGAAAGGCACAAAAAAGUCUUCAUCCAUAGCAAGAAGGUUUAGAACCUGCAACCAUCGAGCGCUCAUUGAUUUAGUUGUGUUAGAAGGUAGGUGACUACAUAUAUUGGGCUGAACACCUACCUUUAGUUAGUUGGCAUAAGGUGACAUAGCAAAGCUAUCUAAUAACAAGGAGGUACAAUAGUAAAUAACUAUAGAAGAAUCCUAUUGCUUAUUGUACGUGAUGUGAUAUGAAGAAGUUUUGAUCUUGUGAAUAAUAGUAGUGGAAGAUAUGUGCUAUUAUAUCUUGUGAAUAAUAGAUGUGAACAUGAAUUUUUGCUGUUUUUUCUGCAGAAUAAACCACAUAACCUACAAAGCAUUUGAUUUCAACAAGUUAUACACUGCAACGUUUAGUAGCCAGCUAUUGUGUUUUUCUGGAAUUGCUAUCCUCUAAAUCAAAAAAGUGUUUGAAUGGACAAAUAUCUAAAUAAAAAAUGCAAACACAAUCAAAACCUUAAGAAGUACUCUUGGAAACCCAGCUUAUCCUUCUGCAUUAAACACCGGAACAAAUGUUCAUGUUCGAGUCUGCUGUGAACCUAACUAAGAUCAGCAAGAAAACAAUGAAUACAUAAUUUCCUCUCUAGCUGUUGAAUCAGAAAUUAUGUAAAAGCGUUGAGAGCUCAAAUGAGAAUUCUACCAGCUUUUGAAACGGUUAGGAGGCAGAUGAUUACAUACAUUGUGGCAUCGUACUAUCAGCAUGAGAACCCAAUUCCAGCUACUUAGCAUAAGAUGAUAUGGCAUAAUCAACUAAUAAGAAGGGGCUGCAACCAUAAAUAAUUGUAGAAGAAACUGGGUGUGCAAAUGCGUGUAUUCAUAAUCCUAUUUGCCUAUAGCAGGUGAUGUUAUGUAUAGAAGUUUUUAUUCUGUAGGUUUUCUUUUUGUUAGAACAAACAACAGUAGCAAGAUAUUUUUCUCAUAUAUUUACUGCUGUUGUAAGAUAAUAUAAUGAUCUGAUUUUUAGCAUAAAUUACAUAAUUAGAAGGCGUAGGUGUAUCUAGGAUGUGUACUUCCUCGUGAACUAAGCUAUCUUUGCUGGAAGCAUAAGUACCUAUGAGCGCCAUUGUGCAUGAUCUGUGUUAAUUUUCUUUUGCAAGGCGAUGUACUUAGGUGAUAGCACGUGGAAUCACGAAUUGCACAUGGGUACGCUGAAAGGAAAGAAUAGGGAAGACAGAUGUGCACGAACCUUGUCUGAAUCUGCCUUUUCGUUGGACUCUGAGCGAUGGCUGGUUUCCAGAGGGAGAUGGCCUGACUGAGCCAGGGAGAUGGCCUGACUGAGCCAUCGCUUACGCGGGCGCGUGUAGCAGAACCGAGCAGACAAGAAGGCCUCCUCGGACAUUAAGAAGGUACGACUAGGUAGCAGUGGAAGUGCUCCGUUCAAAAACAAAAGCUCUACAUAUGCAAAUGGAGGUUCAGACACAUCUCCAUGAGCAGGUCAAGAGCCAUGAAUAGGAGCAAGGCAUCACACUCCAGCUCUGAGAAGAAAAAGAUAUGAAGACAGAGAUAGAUCAGUGUUUUGCUCCGAAGCAAAAACAUUUUGCAUGUAAUAAUGAACUAUAGUUUACCACAAUCUCUCUAAAACAGGCCUACCUAUUACCAGUCCGUUGCUUGCCUUUUUUAGGAAGUAUGACUCAGUUGUAUAUAUUUACAUUUGUGUUGUUUAGUUGUGGUUUGUAUGCCUGAAAAUAUGUUUUAGCCGAGCUUGAAAAUUCUUAUGUGCAGUGAAAUUGUAUGUAACACUUUGUAAAGAACAAAUGAAACAUGUUUCAAAUAACUCAUAGUCUAAAUCGA